CCAAAGCAUUCUCAAGAACUCGCCAGGGCUACAAACUGUACUAGAGAUAAUCAAAACUCUAGAAACUUGGAGAAAUGCAACUCUAGUUGGAAACUAAUCAAUCCAAUACUCCAACUCGACAACAAAUACCUAAUUCACCAAUUUAGGAAAUAGUCACAAGAAAGAUCACCUAUCUCCAACUCUCGAACUCUACUUCGAUAAUAACCAUAUCAUAGUAAGAAC
rnacentral:lncRNA from 1 species